AUUUUUCUAAUAUAAAAAGUAUAAUUAACUUCCAAUUAAUAAGUUUGAUAAUAAAUCAAGAAAAAUA
rnacentral:tRNA from 1 species